rnacentral:lncRNA from 1 species
UAGAGACUUUUCCUGUGGAGAUGCAACAUACACAUAUCUACCUACCCCCAGAAGAGGAACCCAAGACAGAUCGAAGUAGUAAUUGCUCUAGACUUUUUUUUUUUUUAACUAUUGCCAAAAAAUGGUGGGAAGAAUCCAAACCCCACUGGGUUGCUAGAACACUGCACAGUGCAACUGAAGCACCUAAUUAUGUACUAGAUUAUUCUUCUACACCCCAAUCCUGGUCAGUCUCUAGGUCUGUCCUCAAUGCCUUGAAAAACAUUGAAAAAAAAAAAGCAUACAUCUGGUAUUGCUUCAUAUGAUAAAGGGCAGGAUCACUGUAUUCCUGAGUUUCCCUCGUUACAACCCACGCUCCAUUCAGAAUUCGCUUUUCAGGAUGUUUGUGUCAGAGUUGCUACCUCCAGCUGUUUCGUGUAGCACCGCAUGUGGAUAGAUGUAUACCAGUCCCCUAAGAUGAGCUGAGAGUGGAUUGACUGCUCUGUAGAGAAGGGCUAGUGAUAGGUCUCUUCUCAGGAUGGACACUGACUAUGGCACGCUGACAAUUCAGUGAACUUCCUUUGACUCAAGCUUCCUAAGCGUAGUCCCAGUACGAGCUUUAUUAAAGCUGUUUAUCCAAGGGAUGCAUCUUUUUUUCUUUUUUUUCCGUGAGACCUUGUGACCUUACACUCAACAGAUAGAAAGAUCCCAUAAUACAGUGUUUCUCAACUUUCCUAAUACUGCAACCCUUUAAUACAGUUCUCAUGUUUUGGUGACUUCCACUCAUAAAAUCAUUUUUAUUGCUAUUUCCUAACUAUAAUUUUGCUACUGCUAUGAACCUUAAUGUAAAUAUUUGAUUAUAUAGAAUAUCUGAUGUAUGACCCACAGGUUAAGAACUGCUGUUGUAGAGGGUCCUGGAAGUAUUCCCUGGCCUUAAGGGGUCCUAGCCCCAUCUUAUUCUGACAAGCUUCAUGGCUGAGCUUACAGUACCAGAUGUGGUCAGUGCAGGGGAUACUUAGAUCCUAGCAUGCACCCCACCAAGUUGUCCCCAGAUGAGACGCUCAGUCAUUUUUGUUUCACCUUACCUAGAUCCUUUACUAGGUUGGGUAAGCUCCUUGGACUACAAGAAAUAAGACAGAUGCUAGCCCCACCCACUUUGCUCUCCUGUGGUAGUACCUAAUGAGGUGGCAGAUGGGAGUUACCACCUAUCUCCAGGGUAAGGCCCUAUUCUCUGACUUCUCUCCACCUAUGGCAGAUGGGGUGCUAACUCACUUCUUCUGGUUGUACUCUGGGCUCUUUUCAUUCCUCCAACGGGGCAUUAAGGAACUAGCUUUGCCCACUUCUUUUGUGCCGCCCUGUCCCCCAACCCCAAGGUUCUGGUUCCAUUUUUUUUUGUUGUUGUUGUUCAGAAAUCUUUGAUAGUUGUGUUGUUUUUUUGUUCAGUGCUCAUUCUUAGACACCUACCAUUGCUGCUACUGCUAGCGCCAAGUGUUCAUCCUCCCUUCUGAAUGCUUUCUCCCUUCCAAGACACUCAGGAAAGCAGGGCUGGGGGGCAGCAGGUUGGUUAAUACUCCACCCCAGAGAAGAUGGGGCUCUGCCACUUUGAUAGGGCAGUUUUGAGCACUACUUGGAAAGCGGGGGGGGGGGGGGGGAGGGGGGGAGGGGAGGGUCUAUUUUAGUGGGAAAGGGGUAUAGGGACCACCUUCUCCCCUUGUUCUAUGGGGAAGGAUGGCUGGUAUUUGUUCUAGCCUGGUUUCUAUUUGCAGUUACUUGAAUAAAAAAUAAAAAACAAAACUUUCGAGGGGGUGCUAUCUUGAACUCAUUGUGUUGCAUCUAAAAUUGUGACAUCAUUCCUAUCAUUUCAUUGUUCUUCGACAUUUUCUAAUUUAUUUUUAAAAAGUAAUUUUUUUAAAUUAGCUUAGUAAAUUACUCUCCAGAAUGCCUGAGGUUACUUCAUAAGAAACCCAGUAUCUUCCAGACGUUUUCUCUUAGUGCAGGCAUAAUAAAUAUAUCGAACGAUAAUAAACUGUGACAAAAAGUGAGAAUUACUCUCAGAGCAGUUCAGUAAAGGCCCAUCAUUCGCAUAACAGCUUGCGAAUGCUCAAGUGCUCUCCCUCUCGUGAUCAUGUUAAGAACUUUUAAGCAUUUAAAGGGAAAGCAGGACUUAAGCAACUAACAUAUUGUGUACAAAAACACAGGUCCCCACCCCUUGCUAUCAGUCUGUUGAGGUCCAUUCCAAGAGCAAUAUAUAGACAAAAGCAAAAAUCACACUUUGGAUUGAGUCAUUUCUAAGACUAUGUGGACGAUGGAUAGCUGGUGUUAGCUGUGUGUGCACUAAGUAGCUGAAGUGUUAAACUGUAUACC